CGGUCCAUGAAGAACGGGCCUGAUGGUGACGGUGGCUUCUCUAUAUAUUGAAACUUUCUUCUGCCUUCACAGCCGUUGUAACAUGUACCAUGUUAUCUUUCACUUGAUCCACCCUUGAGGACUUUGAAUUGUGCUCAGUCUAAAACCUCUCCUGUGGCCCCCCUGGGAGUGCAUGUCUCCAGCAGUUACGCCCACACGUUCAUUGGAACACACAAGCCUGCUCACCAUGACAAGAUAUUUAAGGACUGGAUUCCUUACUUUAUUCAGGACUGAACGGAACAUUUUCCACUGCUGCCAGGAUUAAUUUGUCC
rnacentral:lncRNA from 11 species